AUGAUUGAACCCAUCAAUUGUUUGUGAGCGUCAGAUAAAUCAAAAUCAAUGUCCCCACACUUGACCUGAACACAAGAAGAUGAUAGGAUAAGUCAAUUAUUUGAAAGAUAAGAACAUAAAAAGUUGGACCUCCGUUACUCUGAUUACCAUGUCAGUACUAAGAAACAUUAUGAUUGCUUCCCAACCAACGUCCAUUAAUAUCAUCCACCCAAUCAAGAAGAUGAGUACACAUUCAUUCAUUCAGAAGACGCAUCUUUGUUUGCUCAAAUCUGUCAUGUAAGCAGCCAGCCAUAGCUAUGACAAAGAAUGCAACCAUGGCCAAAUCAUCGAAGUGGUAAAUAAAUCCACAGAAUUUGGGAGGCAUAUGGAAAUUAUUGUUAUCUAUAAUAUGUAAUGGGAUAUUCUGAUAAACCUUUCAGAGUAAGUUUAGUGCAAUUAGCCCAUUAAAACUCAAAGCUGAGUUAACACUCACCUACAGAUAAGCUUGCUUGCCUCUGCAACACCUUCUGCAAAUGCUGUAAAACAUUGAGAUCUAACAUUAGAGUCAAGAGUGAAGAAGAAACAAUGUACCAAUAACUCAAGGAAGGAAAAUCAGCAACACUUGAUAAUUAAAUAAACAAUUCUCAUUUCCGACA